rnacentral:lncRNA from 10 species
UUACAACGAAGGUUUCUCUCCAAACUCAGGGUGUGUGAAAACAGCCCUUCACACAAUACAAAUAAUUCUAACCACCAAGACAAGUGGAUAGAGACUCUGGACACAGCUAUGCGUUGAAGCAGAGCGAACAUGAAGGGGGCUCCCAAGAAGGCUGUGGAGAGGAUCUUGUUCACUGCAUCUACUUCCUCACUGCUGCUGGAAGUUCCACCACUACAGCACAGUUCACAGACCUCAGUGCACGACAUUAAGGGGGAAAAGGCUAACAGAGGAAGGUCCAACCCAGCCAAUGUUCACCAGUAAAAGGUGAUUUAUUAGGAGAAAAAUAGAACAGCCUGCCUCCAAUUGACAGCCCUUGCAACCAGAUCCGCAAUUAAAGCUGAACUGUGCAAUCUUUGCAUUUAAAGGAAAAUCAAUGGCAUCGAUUGAAUCAAGCAAAAUAAAAAACACCACCAAGGGCAAAGAUAUGGAAGAAUGAGAGUCUGUGCAUUUCAGAUGAGAAAACUGAAGCAUGAGAGAGUAAGCAGCUGGCCAAGAUUACAUAGUACUCUGAUUUUGAAGACAGCUCUCCCUGGAAAUCCUCUGGACAAGAGAACUCAUAUUUUCACACCCUAUAACCUUUCCAUUGCAAAAGGCAAACCUUCCCUCCCAAUAUCAGCUCUUCCCCACACCCUUUCUUCUCCAUGCCCUUGAAACUAGCAGCUCCAGAAUUUCACAGUCAGCCCAGCCUUCGUGCUGGUUUCAAUGGCUGCUGCUCUUCUUAAAACCUAUAAUAUUGGCACGCCACAAUGGACUCAAUAAACAAGAACAGUCUGAAAGGAAUAGAUGAGACAGGGACUCAAUAUUUUCCCCUAGAUGGUUCUAAAAUACCCUCCACACCAUGUGUGUCUUUUUGUUCAUAGAUGUGUGUGUAUGUGUGUGCCUAAAUAGCCAAAUCUCACCUGUCUCAGAACAUUUAUUUUUUCUAUUAUAUCCUGCAAGUUGUAACACCAAGAUGAAGAGGGAGAUAUAAAAGGAGCUGCUUUUUUGGAGCUGAUAUACUUUUGGCCAAAGCUUAUAGAUUCUUAGUCAUGUAUAAAUCUCAUUCCAAUGUAGGGCUUUCAUGACUAUAAACACUUUUCUGCCUUUCUUUUCAUUCAAAAUCUGAGUUUAACUCAUUGAGUUUAACCACAUUUUACUUUAAUCUGUUCCCUACAAACUAUAAGCUUCAUUUAUUCAUUCAAGAAAUAUUUAUUGAUCCCCUAUUAUGUACUAGCCUGUAUAGGAUGCUGGGGACCAUUAGGUGGGCAAAAUAGAAGCUAAUAGGAGAUAAUUGCCCUUCAUGAGGCCUGUAGUCUUAGUGGCAGAGACAAAUAUAAUAAAGGGGCAUGCAUUAAUUGUUAAAUAAUUCAAUUUGGGAUAUGUUCCACUCCAGUGGACUUCUGAUUUUGCAUCUCCAGCAUUUAUUUACUGUUACAAAUAGCAGCCAGCACUUUCCUUUUCUUUUUCUUUCAUUUUGUAAACUACCUCAGCCACUUAUAGGUGGUAUGGUUUGGGGCUCUUCCCAGGCUCUAAGGGUGCACAAAUGUUCUAGACAUCGCCACCAACCUCUGUGAUUAGUUCCAAAAUGAGCAGGUGACCGAGAUCUAUCCAGCGACAAGACUAUCAUGGGAACUAUUGGUGCAGAAAUGCUCUGCCAAAGGUCUCCCUGAAAACUGAGCCAAGAUAAGAAUGAUGAAUGGCCAAGAAGAAAGCAGGCUGGAAAUAUGUCCAUCAGUGGAGUCUUCAUGAUGUGAAUCCAGCUGGGCCUGAAGUUAUCUAACUUUAGUCUUCUUGGUUACACCACUCAAUAUGGUUUUUUUCCCUUAAAUCAAUGUGAUUGGAUUUCUUUCCCUUGCCAUCAAAAACACCUUGACUAAACACAGCCACUAGGGGAAAGUGCAGGAUGAUGUGAGAGAAUAUGACGCAAGUCUUGGUUUUAUUCAUAAUUGUUCUAAACUCUGAAGUAUGAAUAGCAGUGAGCAAGCUGAGAAAGAAGUAGACAUGAAGUUAGGAACAAUGUCUGAGCCUGUUCAUGGCUCUUUCCCCCGAUGCCUUCCACUCCAGAGUAUGUGUUUAAUAACUGACAUGGCUUUUCUGUGUCCCCACCCAAAUCUCACUUUGAAUUGUAAUAAUCCCCACAUAUCAAAGGUGGGGCCAGGUGGAGAUAAUCGAAUCAUGGGGGUGGUUUCCCCCAUACUGUUGUCGUGGUAGUGAAUAAGUCUCAUGUGAUCUGAUGGUUUUAUAAAUGGGAGUUCCCCUGCACACGCACUCUUAACUGCUGCCAUGUAAGACAUAACUUUGCUCCUCAUUUGCCUUCUGCCAUGAUUGUGAGGCCUCCCUAGCCAUGUAGAACGGUGAGUCAAUUAAACCUCUUUUCUUCAUAAAUUAUCCAGUGGAUAUGGUUUGGCUGUGUCUCCACCCAAAUCUCAUCUUGAAUUGUAACUCUCACGAUUCCCAUGUGUCAUGGGAGGAACCUGGUGGGAGGUGAUUGAAUUAUGGGGUGAGUCUUUCCUGCACUGUUCUUGUGAUAUUGAAUGCGUAUCAUGAGAUCUGAUGGUUUUAAAAAUGGGAGUUUAUGUUUAAAAGCUCCCUGUUGCCUGCCUCCAUCCAUGUUGGAUAUGACCUGCUCCUCCUUGCCUUCUGCCAUGAUUGUGAGGCCUCCCCAGCCAUGUGGAACUAUAAGUCCAUUAAACUUCUUUUUCUUCCCA